UGAGACAAUGUUUCAGAAAAAAUUCUGAAAGG
rnacentral:piRNA from 1 species